rnacentral:rRNA from 1 species
GGGGAGGCGUACACAGGUGCUGCAUGGCUCGUCGUCAGCUCGUGUCGUGAGAUGUUGGUUAAGUCCCGCAACGAGCGCAACCCCUGCUGCCAGUGCCAACGGGUAAUGCCGGGCACUCUGGCGGGACUGCCAUCGACAAGAUGGAGGAAGGUGGGGAUGACGUCAAGUCAUCAUGGCCCUUAUGUCCAGGGCGACACACGUGCUACAAUGGUCGGCACAGCGGGAAGCGAGGCAGUGAUGCCGAGCGGAUCCCUUAAAGCCGGUCUCAGUUCGGAUUGAAGUCUGCAACUCGACUUCAUGAAGCUGGAAUCGCUAGUAAUCGCAGAUCAGCCAAGCUGCGGUGAAUACGUUCCCGGGCCUU